rnacentral:lncRNA from 1 species
GCGCUCCCAGGCGCGCUCCCGCGGCGGCGGUGGCGAGCGCGGGGACGCGGAGCGCAGCUUCUACCGCUGGAAGCAGCUGGAGCUCAACGAAGCCAACAGCUUCAAGGGCGGAGAAGAAAUAAACGAAUUAUUCACAGACGAUCUCAGGAAACAUAAAUUUCUGAAAAUGUUAACAGGUCCUCUGUACUUCAGUGCAAAGUGCAAGAAGCUGCUCUACAGAGUUUACUACAGCAGGGACUGUACUAAUUCUGACUAUUUAAGAAGGUGUGCAAGACUUCUAUCCCAAUUAUCAAAGAACAAAAGCUGCAGGAUGGAGCCAAGCUGGAUACGAGUUCACCACAAAACAAAACUGCAUCGGACUGCGAACAAGGAACCAAACCGCCACAAGCAUAUUAAAUACCAUCAUAAGAGUGGGUGGGUGGUGGUUCCGGGUAGAACCGCUCACAGAGAACCGCUCUAAAGAGAUCUUCCAGAAAUACUAUCCAAAUUGCCAAAAGGGGGUACUACUUACUUUAUAUAGAUAUUUUAUUUAAUGCAGAAUUAUGCAAUGCUUGAAACAAAUUAGACAAGUGUCUGUAGGAAAUAGAUCAAAAAGUGAGGUUUAAGGUCAUUUAACAUUUUACAUUCAUGCUUAAUGUGCAAUUCAGGAUUUCCAUGGAUUUUUUUUCAUAUGUUUCUGCACAUAAUGGGUUUUAAGACAAACUUUUAACGUUAAUGCGACUAAGUUAACCAAAGGGAAACCUUUUCAUUUUAUUGUUCUGUCGACAGCAGGAACCUCAGGAC